AGUGCUGGGAUUAAAGGCGUGUGCCACCAAUGCCCAGCUUCAUUUUUAUGAAUUCUUCUCUUGUAUCUCAGGGUUUAGUACUUUUCUGUUUCCCCAGUCCCUCUUGGAAAUAGGUAUUAUCUGUCUGAAAAUAGUGGGUUAGUGUAAUUCUUUAAUUUCAUAAGCAGGCAGGGCAAUGUUAGUGAUUUACUGGAGAACUGGACCCAAAUGUGAAUGGAAUUCUCCAUCCUGUCUCUUAGAAUUUCAAAAUGUGAAGGGAGAACUUGAAUCUUGGAGUCUGUUUCCCCAUCCCUGAUAGCAUGAUAAAAUAUUUCUAUAGAUAAGAUUUUGUAAUGACAUUAAGAAUUGAUUACAGAAAUGCAAAUAAACCAUUGUGCAUUCUCUCCACAAGUACUUUCCAAAUAUCUUACAAGUGUGGACACAGCCUGUACCUCAAGAUCCAAAGGCAGAGACAGUGUUAUAAUCCUGCAUCUGGGCGUGUUGGGUGACAAGGACAGAGGGGAACUAAUUAUGCACUCCACCUCAAAAUCACCAGCUCCACCAAGUUUCAGGCUCACGACAAAGCAUUUCCUUAUUUUCACUAGAUAUUUUCCAGUUGACAAAGUGUUUUCUCUUCCAGUGGAGCAGUGUGUCUGUCGUGAAGCUCAGCAGCAUCACCUCCAGGUUUCCUUUGCCAGCCUCUUUCCUGUUCAGACAGGUGGUCAUCUGUCAUGGAUGAAAGUGCUUUGCAAGCAGUUUGUCAAGACAUGCAGAGUUGAACACACCCUGGCCUUCAGGAAAAGGACAUCUCUUUUUACCCACAGAAACCACAGUUCCUAAACCAGCAGGAUUUUCUAGACAUUUUUUUUUCUACCUACUCUCUCCUUUUGCCUUCCUGGGGGAAGGCAGAAGAGCCAGAAAGCUGGUUCCUUCUUCAUUUCUCGGCCUUCGUUUUGGAGAUAGUCUGCCGGAGCCAUCAUCUUGGAGAGCAUCGUGAACAAUAUUAACAAGAGAAAUGCAUCUUGGUAAUGGACAUGAGCUAUUCUCCAAUUGUUCUUGGAGACAUUCACGAUACGAGAGCCAGGAGAGCCAAGAGAGCCAAGACCAAUGCUGGAAACCUAGCAGUUCCCCAGUAAAUAUCGGUAGAAAUGUAAUAGUUAUAUACGUGUGUCUGGAGAAUUUCCAGUGGCCAAGUGAAACCUCCGUGACUCAUGCCAAAGAAACUGAUGGAAUAACAUGUCAUAUUUUUGUUGACAUACUUAUCAAAAGUAAGGAAAAAUUCCUUGCAAGGGGGAAAACUCUAAUGCAUCAUCCAAGAUCAGUUUCUGUUAUCAGCUGUCAUUUUUGUGUGUGUUCGAUCCUAAAUUAAUUUACAAUGAAUAUAAAUCA